rnacentral:rRNA from 1 species
AGAACGAACGCUGGCGGCAUGCCUAAUACAUGCAAGUCGAACGAACUCUUCGGAGUUAGUGGCGCACGGGUGCGUAACGCGUGGGAAUCUGCCCCUUGGUUCGGAAUAACAGUUGGAAACGACUGCUAAUACCGGAUGAUGACGAAAGUCCAAAGAUUUAUCGCCAAGGGAUGAGCCCGCGUAGGAUUAGCUAGUUGGUGAGGUAAAGGCUCACCAAGGCAACGAUCCUUAGCUGGUCUGAGAGGAUGAUCAGCCACACUGGGACUGAGACACGCCAGACUCGACGGAGGCAGCAGUAGGGAAUAUGGACAAGUGGGACGAAAGCCUGAUCCAGCAAUCGGCCGCGUAGAGUGAUGAAGGUCCGUUAAGGGUUAGUAAAGCUUAC